GAAACGACUGCUAAGACUGGAUAGGAAAAGUAAAGGCAUCUUCACUUUUUUAAAAGACCUUCUUUGAAGGUAUGCUUAAGGAGGGGCUUGCGACACAUUAGUUAGUUGGCAGGGUAAAGGCCUACCAAGACUAUGAUGUGUAGCUGGACUGAGAGGUUGAACAGCCACAUUGGGACUGAGACACGGCCCAAACUCCUACGGGAGGCAGCAGUAGGGAAUUUUCGGCAAUGGAGGAAACUCUGACCGAGCAACGCCGCGUGAACGAUGAAGUAUUUCGGUAUGUAAAGUUCUUUUAUUAAGGAAGAAAAAAGAGUGGAAAAACUCCCUUGACGGUACUUAAUGAAUAAGCCCCGGCUAAUUAUGUGCCAGCAGCCGCGGUAAUACAUAAGGGGCGAGCGUUAUCCGGAAUUAUUGGGCGUAAAGGGUGCGUAGGCGGUUUAAUAAGUCUAUAGUUUAAUUUCAGUGCUUAACGCUGUUAUGCUAUAGAAACUGUUUUACUAGAGUGAGAUAGAGGCAAGCGGAAUUCCAUGUGUAGCGGUAAAAUGCGUAAAUAUAUGGAGGAACACCAGAGGCGUAGGCGGCUUGCUGGGUCUUUACUGACGCUGAGGCACGAAAGCGUGGGGAGCAAACAGGAUUAGAUACCCUGGUAGUCCACGCUGUAAACGAUGAGUACUAAGUGUCGGGUAAAACCGGUACUGAAGUUAACACAUUAAGUACUCCGCCUGAGUAGUACGUACGCAAGUAUGAAACUUAAAGGAAUUGACGGGACUCCGCACAAGCGGUGGAUCAUGUUGUUUAAUUCGAAGAUACACGAAAAACCUUACCAGGUCUUGACAUUUUCUUGCGAAGUUAUAGAAAUAUAAUGGAGGUUAUCAGGAAAACAGGUGGUGCAUGGUUGUCGUCAGCUCGUGUCGUGAGAUGUUAGGUUAAGUCCUAAAACGAGCGCAACCCUUGUCGUUAAUUGCCAGCAUGUAAUGAUGGGGACUUUAACGAGACUGCCAAUGAAAAAUUGGAGGAAGGUGGGGAUUACGUCAAAUCAUCAUGCCCCUUAUGAUCUGGGCUACAAACGUGAUACAAUGGUUGAUACAAAGAGUAGCUGAAACGCGAGUUCUUAGCCAAUCUCACAAAAUCAAUCUCAGUUCGGAUUGAAGUCUGCAACUCGACUUCAUGAAGUUGGAAUCGCUAGUAAUCGCGAAUCAGCAUGUCGCGGUGAAUACGUUCUCGGGGUUUGUACACACCGCCCGUCA
rnacentral:rRNA from 1 species